UACCUAAACGUUGAAAAAGCGCGUAGAGU
rnacentral:piRNA from 1 species